GGGGGGGGCGCGCGAGCUGGGCGCUUUCCCGGCCUUUGGCGCUGAGGUGACAGAGCUUCCAAAAUACAAUAGAAGUAGAUCAGAAAGCAAAUGGGAACUCUGCUUUCUUUAUGAACUGAUGAGGAAAGACUUGAAGAGAAAAAGAGGAGGCAGCACAUCUUAGGAUUUGAAUCAGACAACUGCAACAGCAAGUCUGACCGAAGUGUGAGAAGAUUUGCUAAAUGGAGAACUUCUAUGUAGAGGCAUAACUUAGCUAUGAAAGCUGCUGCUGCAUGGCUAUUCUUGGCCUUAAAAUUGAGCAAUAGCUUUGCUGUUUGCUCUGGACCAAAGCUCCAGCUGAGUCAAGUGGAGAUUUGAAAGUUUUCAUGAGGGUAAGCUGAGGACACUGACUUUUCUUUCCUCACUGAAAAUCUGGGCAUCAACUUUCAAUACAGAUAAUAAGAGGUAACUUGAAGGAUGACAUUGAGACACCGGGUCUUUGAAACAGCUUUCUGUGCCAAGCCUGCCACUUCUCAAUUAUUCUGUUUCUACUUCUUUAUGAGUUGCAGCCUGUUGAGAGGUGCAUGCUAAAGUCUCUGAAGCCUGAACUUCCAUGUUACCUUUAAUUGAAUGUUGGUCCGGGGUCAGAUUCAGCCAGAGCAUAACUACAGGCAGUUGCUAAUUUUCUGUAAUGCCACUAGUUCCCCAGAAUUGAAGCUUCUGUUACACACACAUUUCUCCCUACCUUCUCUGAUUUCUAGCCCUCAGGAUUUCAAAAAACAAUUCAGUAUGGUGCUGAAUUGAGUUUUCAGCAAUCUUAGGAAAAUAGUUCUGAUAAACAACAGAUACCUUUCUUCUCAGUGGGCAGUAUUUUCAAACUUAACAAACAAGGUCACUUCAUUUUAAUUGGAAUAUCAUUGAGGAUUUGGACUGAAGUGCCAUCAGAAUUUCCCAGUCUGCAUAGUGGCAAAUUAACUUCGAGCAAUGACAGUUUUAAAGUUGGUUGGAAAAUCCUUGGUGGGAAAAUUAGUACUGUAGUACUAAUUGUGCUUCUUAGAUAAAUGUGUAUUGUUAAUGAUUAGGUUAUGUGGUUACAGGCUUGUCAAGCAUUUGCAGCAAAGCCAGAGAAGAAUCAUAAAACACAGGUAAAACAUAACAAUAAACGAAUCAUGUUUUCAGGACUAGCUGCUCUAAAACAAGCUGCUAAUUACAUUUAAUGAUGAGACAAAAUUGGAAAGCAAUAUCAAAAGACAGGAAGACUGGAACAUUGUUUAGGAAGUACCACAUAACCUUGAAGACUGGAGUAAUCAAAAUCAAGUGAUGUUUGGUAUUACAAUUGCAAUGUCAUGUAGCGGACUAAGAAAAAAUGUUGGUUAGAAGAGUUUUGAAAGGGUAGAGAUAAACCAUUUGGGUAUGAAUGCCAGCAGCUUGCGUACUGGAGACCAGCAGUUAAGCGUGUCCCAUUUGAAGACAAAUCAAGUGUUAUAUCUCUAGUUGCUGUUUUGAAGAACAUGGAGGAAGCUAAUGCUCAGCAGAACUGUGGCAUGCAAGCAGAAGAUCACCAAGCAAAAACCAAACACAUUUAUUUGAAGCUUGGAUUCCCUUGCCCGUAGUAGCAGAGAACAUGAAUGCAUGAAUCAAGGCUUCCUUUCCCACUCUAUUAUCGGUUAUGUUCCCAGAAUCAUAGUUAAAAUAUUUGCAGGCUCAUUUGCUGUGAGUAAUACUUUUCCCUGCUGAAUUGUAACAACCUCCAAGAAAUCUGAGAACAGUGUUAAAUGAAAUUACCAGUUGGUUCAGUUCUCUAGGUUGUGCCAGUGCAACCCUGCAUGAUUUCGCUAAGCAAGAAAUAUAAAUGGAAAGACUGAGUCUUAAUGAGGCUACUAUGGAUGACUUCAACCAGAGGAUUUCUGAAGUGCAAUGUCUGCUAGUCUGCCCUAGGCAGAAUCUUCAUCCCAGCUCCCAGAGGUACAUUGAGAGUGGCCGACGAUAUGUGUUUGCAAAAGUUUCAGCUCCAGCCCAAUUCUGAAGUCCCAAGCCAGUAACAAGAAUAAUGAAGACUUUAAAUUCCAAGACACAGGCUUAAAAUGAACCUUGGAAAUACUACGUGGAAAGUGACUGCUGCUGGUCAUGUGGAAAAAAAAAAAAUAAGUGUACCCUUCAGGUGCUGAAGGAUGCAAUGUAUUCAAAGCAUAUUUAAUAAAUGCGUGGAGCCCAUUGGGCAAGUUAUUCAGCAAGCACCCAUGAGAAGGUAAUUCCCUCUCUUUGUGUUUAUAAGCUAAGAGUAUUCUAAUGGACUUACUUCAUGAGUCAG
ensembl:lncRNA